GGGGGUGCCAAGGCAUCGACAUGGAGCAAGUAGCCAAGGGGAGCAUGCCGAGGUUGUCGGGAGGCCUCGUAAAAAUACCCGACAAAACACAAAAGCUGAAGAAGUUGUAGCUUUAGCUGCUUAAUGCGGCUAACAUCCUUAUACGUCUUUCGCCUGUUGGGAAAUAAGGAUGCAAGAAAAUGGGCUUACCUUUCGUUCUAUGUCUGAAGGACAAGAGGGAAAAUCAAGCAGACUCGUUUUUUUCUUAUCUUGUCCUUAAGAGAAGAAAGAAAUUAAACUAAGGAACAAGCAUGUAGCCGCCUUUUAGGAGCUUCUUUAUGGACACGGGUUCGAUUCCCGUCACCUCCACCA
rnacentral:tmRNA from 1 species